rnacentral:rRNA from 1 species
CAAUAGCGUAUAUUUAAGUUGUUGCAGUUAAAAAGCUCGUAGUCGGAUUUUGGCUGAGAACGAUCGGUCCGCCGUUAGGUGUGCACUGAUUGGUCUCAGCUUCCUGGUGAGGAGGUGUGCUUCACGGCCACUUAGUCACCGUGGUUACUUUGAAAAAAUUAGAGUGUUCAAAGCGGGCUUACGCUUGAAUAUAUUAGCAUGGAAUAACACCAUAGGACUCCUGUCCUAUUUCGUUGGUCUCGGGACGGGAGUAAUGAUUAAGAGGAACAGUUGGGGGCAUUCGUAUUUCAUUGUCAGAGGUGAAACUCUUGGAUUUAUGAAAGACGAACUUCUGCGAAAGCAUUUGCCAAGGGUGUUUUCAUUGA